UACGGAAGGCAGCAGUGGGGAAUAUUGCACAAUGGGCGCAAGCCUGAUGCAGGCCAUGCCGCGUGUAUGAAAAAGGCCUUCGGGUUGUAAAGUACUUUCAGUCGUGAGGAAGGUGUUAAGGUUAAUAACCUUAGCAAUUGACGUUAGCGACAGAAGAAGCACCGGCUAACUCCGUGCCAGCAGCCGCGGUAAUACGGAGGGUGCGAGCGUUAAUCGGAAUUACUGGGCGUAAAGGGCACGCAGGCGGUUAAUUAAGUUGGAUGUGGAAUCCCCGGGCUUAACCUGGGAAUGGCAUUCAAGACUGGUUAGCUAGAGUCUUGUAGAGGGGGUAGAAUUCCAUGUGUAGCGGUGAAAUGCGUAGAGAUGUGGAGGAAUACCGGUGGCGAAGGCGGCCCCUGGACAAAGACUGACGCUCAUGUGCGAAAGCGUGGGGAGCAAACAGGGAUUAGAUACC
rnacentral:rRNA from 1 species